AGCGCAGGCGGUGCGGCAAGUCUGAUGUGAAAGCCCGGGGCUCAACCCCGGUACUGCAUUGGAAACUGUCGUACUAGAGUGUCGGAGGGGUAAGCGGAAUUCCUAGUGUAGCGGUGAAAUGCGUAGAUAUUAGGAGGAACACCAGUGGCGAAGGCGGCUUACUGGACGGUAACUGACGUUGAGGCUCGAAAGCGUGGGGAGGCAAAACA
rnacentral:rRNA from 1 species